GACGAACGCUGGCGGCGUGCUUAACACAUGCAAGUCGAACGGUGAAGCUCCAGCUUGCUGGAGUGGAUCAGUGGCGAACGGGUGAGUAACACGUGAGCAACCUGCCCCUGACUCUGGAAUAAGCGCUGGAAACGGCGUCUAAUACUGGAUACGAGAAGGGUCCGCAUGGGCACUUUCUGGAAAGUUUUUCGGUUGGGGAUGGGCUCGCGGCCUAUCAGCUUGUUGGUGAGGUAAUGGCUCACCAAGGCGACGACGGGUAGCCGGCCUGAGAGGGCGACCGGCCACACUGGGACUGAGACACGGCCCAGACUCCUACGGGAGGCAGCAGUGGGGAAUAUUGCACAAUGGGCGGAAGCCUGAUGCAGCGACGCCGCGUGAGGGAUGACGGCCUUCGGGUUGUAAACCUCUUUCAGCAGGGAAGAAGCGAAAGUGACGGUACCUGCAGAAGAAGCACCGGCUAACUACGUG
rnacentral:rRNA from 1 species